rnacentral:rRNA from 1 species
UACGAGGGGGGCAAGCGUUGUUCGGAAUUACUGGGCGUAAAGGGCUCGUAGGUGGCCAACUAAGUCAGACGUGAAAUCCCCAGGCUCAACUUGGGAACUGCGUCUGAUACUGGAUGGCUUGAAUUCGGGAGAGGGAUGCAGAAUUCCAGGUGUAGCGGUGAAAUGCGUAGAUAUCUGGAGGAACACCGGUGGCGAAGGCGGCAUCCUGGACCAAUAUUGACGCUGAGGAGCGAAAGCCAGGGGAGCAAACGGG